AGGGCGAACGCUGGCGGCGUGCUUAACACAUGCAAGUCGAACGAUGACCUCCAGCUUGCUGGGGUGAUUAGUGGCGAACGGGUGAGUAACACGUGAGUAACCUGCCCUCCACUCUGGGAUAAGCACUGGAAACGGUGUCUAAUACCGGAUACGAGCUUCCGCCGCAUGGUGAGGAGCUGGAAAGAAUUUUGGUGGGGGAUGGACUCGCGGCCUAUCAGGUAGUUGGUGAGGUAAUGGCUCGCCAAGCCGACGACGGGUAGCCGGCUGAGAGGGUGACCGGCCACGACGUGGGACUGGACGACACGGCCCAGACCUCCUACGGGAGCAGCAGGUGGGAAUGUGGACAAGUGGGCGCAAGCCUAGACUCCGAGCAUCGCCGCGUGAGUGAGUGAAGGUCCGUUAGGUUA
rnacentral:rRNA from 1 species